rnacentral:rRNA from 1 species
UACAGAGGUGGCAAGCGUUGCUCGGAAUUACUGGGCGUAAAGGGCGCGUAGGCGGAUAUUUAAGUCGGGGGUGAAAGCCCAGGGCUCAACCCUGGAAUUGCCUUCGAUACUGGAUAUCUUGAGUUCGGGAGAGGUGAGUGGAAUGCCGAGUGUAGAGGUGAAAUUCGUAGAUAUUCGGCGGAACACCAGUGGCGAAGGCGACUCACUGGCCCGAUACUGACGCUGAGGCGCGAAAGCGUGGGGAGCAAACAGG